rnacentral:rRNA from 1 species
UACGGGGGGGGGCAAGCGUUGUCCGGAAUCACUGGGCGUAAAGGGCGCGUAGGCGGCGCGACAAGUCAAUGGUGAAAGCCCGAGGCUCAACUUCGGGUCGGCCACUGAUACUGUUGGGCUUGAGCACUGUAGAGGCAGGUGGAAUUCCGGGUGUAGCGGUGGAAUGCGUAGAGAUCCGGAAGAACACCGGUGGCGAAGGCGGCAUCCUGGACCGAUACUGACGCUGAGGAGCGAAAAGCCAGGGGGAGCAAAGCGGGG